GUGCUGCGACGUUUCCCUUCGGGAAAGUGCGAUACUGCCUGAAGAAGGUGCUCACCUGAAGAGUAGUUGGAAGGCUAGAGCGGAGCCAAUCACGGUACCGAGUAGAAUCCAAACGAGUUUGGUCACUCGGGGUUCGUUAGUCUCGCCUAGACCGGCAUUCUGCUGUUGUGCGCUGGUUAGGAGUUUGUCAGGUCUAAAAACCCACCGUUCAACGUGGGUUUUUAUCUGGGAGCGCCCAGCGCCGCUGAACCGAGCUGAAAGCUGUCGAGAGUCCUCGGAAACAGCGUGGUGUGCGCCGUACGUUGUCUGGAGACGACGAAAAGGCGUCGUAGUAGCGUCAUACGUCCAUUUUGCGCGUCCACGUGGCCGACCGAGCGUCACCUGGCCGCCAUCUUGAGUGAUUACCGAACUGUGGCUCCAUUUCCGGUUAACUAAGCCCCUCAUCCGUGUGUGCAACGCCGUACACGCCGAACAGUGCGCCUCACGUCACCUCGCGCCAGUUCGGAAGUGGGAAACCGGUUGGUUUCAGCGCUGUACGUCACCAAAGCGCUUCAACAAGAUCUGCCAUUCAUCCCUUGGCAGCCAUUUUGGUGAGCGACCCCCAACUACCGCUCAUUUCCCGGAAAAGCCACCCCCUUCGGUCACUCUUGGGAAAAACAGAGCGCAUCGAGAGCGUGAACCCUUCCUCUGCCGCUCACGCGACGCCAGCGCCCGGAAGUCGAGAGUUCUCCCCACGGAAAGGUUGAGAACUACGAGAGCCAGCGUCUGACGCCGGCAAGUGUUUUUGCGGUCCACACCGCGAGCCCGGACACAUCAAUGAAAACGCCGCUGCGACACCUAGCGGCCGAUAGCGCCACCCGAUCGACAGCGUAAAGCCGACCC